rnacentral:tRNA from 1 species
AAGAAGCUAGUCCAAAUAAAAGACCUCUAAUUUCGGCUUAGAUAAUUAUGGUGUAAGUCCAUGGCUUCUUU